rnacentral:rRNA from 1 species
AUUGAACGCUGGCGGCAUGCUUUACACAUGCAAGUCGAACGGCAGCGCGGGGCAACCUGGCGGCGAGUGGAGAACGGGUGAGUAAUAUAUCGGAACGUACCCAGAAGUGGGGGAUAACGUAGCGAAAGUUACGCUAAUACCGCAUACGAUCUACGGAUGAAAGUAGGGGACCGCAAGGCCUUAUGCUUUUGGAGCGGCCGAUAUCUGAUUAGCUAGUUGGCGAGGUAAAGGCUCACCAAGGCGACGAUCAGUAGCUGGUCUGAGAGGACGACCAGCCACACUGGAACUGAGACACGGUCCAGACUCCUACGGGAGGCAGCAGUGGGGAAUUUUGGACAAUGGGCGCAAGCCUGAUCCAGCAAUGCCGCGUGAGUGAAGAAGGCCUUCGGGUUGUAAAGCUCUUUUGUCAGGGAAGAAACGGUAGAGGCUAAUAUCCUUUGCUAAUGACGGUACCUGAAGAAUAAGCACCGGCUAACUACGUG